rnacentral:lncRNA from 10 species
GGCCAAGCGACUUCUGGGGCCACAGCUCAGCAGACAGGGCCUCUGCAGAGGCGUCCCUGCCCCCAAGCAUGCUGGGGGCGUCCUUGAGAGGGUGUCCUGCAGACCCAGAGAUAAUCCGGGCUUUGAGAGGCUGUGAGAGGCUGGCCCGAGGACUUUCCCACAGCCCCACAGAAAGGGCCGGCAGCCAGCUGCUCACCCACAAAAGGCUCCCGGCCAUUCAUGGCCUCAGGCAGGCGGGGCUGUCGGAGCGGCAGCCACAGCCUACCUGGCCACCCCCAGCAGGACUUUCGUGACAGGGAGGCACCUCCCUUCUGGCCAUGGGGGCAGGAGGUCUCCAGGGCAUAGGGGUAGUCUUGUGCAGCCACCCAGGCCAGCUGCUACCCCCUCUCUUUUGGCCCGAGACUGGCACCCUUCCUGGGCCUGUCAUUUAUCAUGGGUGCCUGGGUAAAGGAUGGCUCAGGAGGACCCUGCAGGCACCCACUACCAUGCCUGGCGCCGUGCCUCCACCGUCACACUACCCAUUGCUCGCCCCCACACGCUGGCCAUGAGUCCCCAGGGCUGGCACCUUCCUUGCUUCCAAGUCUGGCCUGCACGGCUCUCACACCCUUUGCAACCAUCUUCUUGCCCACCCAGCAGCCCACCCUGUCAGUGUAGGGGGCAGGAGAGGGACCUGGUGGGGCAGUGAGCUGGGUAAGGCCUCCUCCCUGGACCUCAGUCUCCUUGUCUGAGGUGUGGGACAGCACUGCUGCCUCCCAAGGCUGAUGGAAGGACCCCCAAGGGCGGCUGGUUAACAAAUACCAGCUGGAGCUGCCUCUGCGGCCCCUGUCCUCACCCCUGAGGAGGCCAGGCCCGGGCAGGUGCCUGGGCUGGGGCUGCUCCUGGCCAGGCUGGAAGACUGUCAGAUGGAGGACAGGUCAGGUGGUCGGAAAGCUGGGGACAGGGAGGGAGCAGGUUUGACGGAGGGACGUAUGGGCAGGCUCCUCCUCCCGGUCAGGUCCCACGUGACCCCCCAGCCACGCCUACCCACAUCGCCCUGCUGGAGGCCGGGGGCGGGGGGAGCGGGGAGUGGGGGGUGUGGGGGGUGAGGGGGGUGGGGGUGGGGGUGGCCCGGCCCGGAGCUAGGGGGCGGGGCCGUGCUUCUUCUGGCCCUGGCCUCCAAUUGGCUGCCGGGCGUGGGAAAGCGUGCACCACUGCCUGGCGCCCAUAAAGACGCCUCCACCACCUGCGCCGCCGCCGCCUCCCGGCCGCCCUCCGCCCCGCGCGCUCGUUGAGGCCGGUGCUCCAGAGUGAAGAGCGUGGCGGUGCGGCGGUAGCGCAGGGCCCUCCUGCGGGGCCAGGCAGGGGCGGGUGGGCGCUCCUUGCCACCUUUCUGCUCUCCCUGCUGUCCGAGAAGUUCGUGCGGUGCCAGCCCAGCUCCCAGCUGGGGACAGAACAGGAAACGUCCCCGGCGAGCCUGGCGGGGGUGGCGGCAGGGGUGUCUGUCGCCUGCGCUGGGCAGGACGCGCGUCCUACCGGCCUCCCACUCCGCGGGCCUCACCAGCCACCUCAUUCCCGGAGCCCGGGCCGCCGAGAGCGCCGCGGAUGGACCUCAGGGAAGGCCUGGCGCGCCGCCUCCGGGAAGCCUUCCGGCCUUCUCCCUCCACCGAGUACUGGGGAGUCUCAGGCCACGGUGAAUGAAGAGCAACGGGCCGGAGAGACCUCGGCCUCUGCCCAGGAGCAGCGCCCAGCAACCCCGCCCACAGGGGACCCGGUGGACGCCCUGGUGGCCACUUUGCCAGGCUCCCCAUCUCCCAGCGAACCAGAGAGGAUUUCCGUUCCCCUCCUGCUUGGUGCCUAGCGCCAGGGCGGGGCGUGGGCUGAGCAGCCCCUCCCAUGGAGGGAGCGGCCAGUCUACAUAUUGGAGGUGGGGCUCUGGGGAAAGGGUGUUGUUAGGAAGGCGGUUUGAGGCAGCGGGAGGUGGGGAUGCGCCCGGCGGGGAGGGGCAGGUGUGUGGGGAGGGCCUGGGGAGCGCCUCCCCAGCCGGGCAGCGCUUCCCCAGCCAGGCCCCGCAGCUGGACCCCGGCUCCGUCCAGCCUGGGAAAGGACUCCACGGUUUAUGCUGAAGUGGUGGUGGGGUGGGUGAACGCUGCGCAAUGGAAGGGCAUGGCCCUGUGCUAAUUGCCCCGGGGUGUGGGGCUGUGGAGGCACUGCGGGGGGGAUGUGCUGUGUCAGUUGGGCAAUGGCGGCCAACUGUGGCGUGCAGGCCUUGGAGCUGCCCCUCCAUGGAGCUUUAAUAAAGGCACUAGCCCUGCAAUUUCUGCCUGAGUUUCUGGCCCACAGCUUGGCCGACUGCAGCCCCUGAGAUUGGAGGCUUCUGCUCAAGACGUGGGCAGGGAGCUCGGGGCUCCCUGGGCUGGGGCCCUGCCCCGCUGGCCUCUACCCUGGCCCCUGCUGGAAAGCCCGUCAGGGCUGCUCUGAGCUGGGGACAGCUCCUCCCUGCCCACAGCAAUCUGGGGGAGCCCCGGUUUGUCCAGUGCCCCUGUGAGCCCUGCUGUGUACCAGCCACCUGUGGGAGUGUCCGCCAGUCACCUCCCAAUAGCUCGGGAGGCAGAGCGACAUGACUCCAUUUUAGAGAUGAGCAAACGGGGCUCCUGCACUCUGGGACCAUGACAGAGACACAGGAAGUGAGAGUGGGCUGAGGCCCUGCAGCAGUGGGGGCCGGCCUUGGACCGUGAUCCAACCCGACCAUGGCUGCCCAACCCCCACGGGCUCACCUGGCCCCUCAUCGAACCAUGUAUUACCCGAAUAAUUUAUUCUAGUGUCUGGGCCCAGCCCCGUGUCCCUCACUGACAACCAGACCAUGGAGGGCAGCCCUUGUGUUUUCCCAGGGGGAGGGGAGGGAGGAGGGGGUGGAUUCUUAAAGGGCUGCAGUGAGUGUGGCCCCAAAUGCACACCCAGGGUUAGGCACGCAGGUGAUGGCACAGGGAGCCCAGGUUCUAGGAAGUGGCACCUGCGGCCGGGGAGGCAGGGCCUGGAUUUUGCUGCCCCCUGGUGGCUAGCGGCCUGUCCAGGCAAAAGGCUUGGACCUGCAGCCCCUGUGGCUCAGAGGAAGAGACAGAGGAAGAGACAGACAGAGGUCUGAGGUCUCCCAUCAGAAGUCUCAGCUCCCAAGGCAAAUUCAGAGGUGGAGGGUCCCUUGGCCCUGUCCCAGCUCUGGCAGGGCGGCCCCCCACGUCCUGGCCUGCUGCCAGGGGUCGCGCCCACAGCCCUGCACCGAGCAGGGAAGGCCCAGGCCUGGGUGGGUCUUUCCGCAGGAUCCUGGGAUGUUGCUUAGGGGAAGCCGAGACCAGACGGGCAGUCACCUGUCUGGGAAAGCACCAGGCCCUGGCCGGGUGCGAUGGAUCACGCCUGUCAUCCCAGCAGUGUGGGAGGCCGAGGCGGGAAGAUCACGA